UGGAACAUCAUUUCUCGACCA
rnacentral:piRNA from 1 species